rnacentral:lncRNA from 1 species
GUCCUCUCUGGGAGACAUCAGCAAAAUUAAACAUGGCAAAGGUAUCUGAUGCUUUAAUUAGCUGCAACCCAUUCAAGUAGAUCCUCAAAAGUGGAGACCAGUGUUUCUAUGUGAAAUCUAUUGUUGGGGUGGAUUUUUCCUAUUCAUCUCCCAUUCAUAGCCCACUCUUUUCCUCUCUUCAUUAAUUAUAGCUAUCACAAGUAGUCCAAUGCAAUCUACUUACUUUCUAAUCUCAUCCACUUUGAGAUAUUCAACAAAUAUCUUCCCACCAGAAAAUUUCUUUUCCUUCCUUCCUUUCUCUUUCUUUCUUCCUUCCUUCCUUUCUCUUUCUUUCUUCCUUCCCUUUCUUCCUUCCUUCCUUCCUUCCUUUCUUUUUUCCUUUCUUUCUUUCUUUCUUUCUUUCUUUCUUUCUUUCUUUCUUUCUUUCUUUCUUUCUUUCUCUCUCUUUCUUUCUAUCUUCUUUCCUUCCUUCUAUCCCUCCUUCCUUCCUUUCUUUUUAAACCUGUACUUUCUCUCAAUAUAAUUUCUAAAACAGAAGAGUGGCAAGGGCUAUGCAAUAAGUUAAAUGACUUGCCCAGAGUCACACAGCUAGGAAAUAUCUUGGAUCAGAUUUGAAUACAGCUGCUCACAACUCCAGGCCUGAUGUUCUGUCCACUUUUCUACCAAUUGCCUUUACCUGAAAAUUGAAUUUUGAGAUUGCAGAUGACUACUGAAAGACUCCAGAAGUCAUCUAGUUCAGUUUCCACAUCAAAAAUUAAAGAAUAUCUGAAAUGUAUAGAACUGAAUACUUAUAGUUUAUAUCCCCUCAAACUGGGAUUAUGAAAACUACUCCUUGGUUCAUGAUAUAAUUUGGGUCAGCAACCAUUCAAAACAAUAGUCCAUGAGCUCUUACCAUUGCUUUUUAAAAUUUUUUUUGCUAAAUCAAACUAGGCAACACAUUGUUUCAAGGGGGAAAAAAACAGUUAAAAGAGAAGAACAAGUUAAAUCCCAAAGAAAACCCCUUCCAUUCUGCCAAGGGCACACUCACAGUCUCAUAAAUUCCCAUGCCAUUAAUGGGUGAAAGAACAUACUCUAUCACAAUAAUUUUUUGAUCUCUGAAUUUCAAAGAAGCAAAAGGUCGUUAGAAUCCCUAAGAAGUCAUUUAGUCAGGACAGCUAGGUGGAUCAGUGAACAGAGAACCAAGCCUGGAGACUAGAGGUCCUGAGUUCAAAUAUGGCCUCAGAUACUUCCUAGCUAUAUAACCUUAGUCAAGUCACUUAGCCCCAAUUGCCUAGCCUUUAGAAC